GAAAUAGCAGCAGCUUGUCUGG
rnacentral:miRNA from 1 species